UACAGAGGAUGCAAGCGUUAUCCGGAACGAUUGGGCGUAAAGCGUCCGCAGGUGGCAAUGUAAGUCUGCUGUCAAAGCGUCUGGCUCAACCAGAUAAAGGCAGUGGAAACUACAUAGCUAGAGUAAGGUAGGGGUAGAGGGAAUUCCUGGUGUAGCGGUGAAAUGCGUAGAGAUCAGGAAGAACACCGGUGGCGAAAGCGCUCUGCUGGACCUUAACUGACACUGAGGGACGAAAGCUAGGGGAGCGAAUGGG
rnacentral:rRNA from 1 species